UUACGACCAUAUCACGCUGAAACGCCGAUUUCCAUACGAUCACCGAAGUUAAGCAACGUCGAGCCUGGUCAGUAUAUAGAUGGGUAACUGCUUAGGAAUACCAUCUGUUGUAAG